rnacentral:rRNA from 1 species
GGCCAGACUCCUACGGGAGGCAGCAGUGGGGAAUAUUGCACAAUGGGGGAAACCCUGAUGCAGCGACGCCGCGUGAGCGAUGAAGUAUUUCGGUAUGUAAAGCUCUAUCAGCAGGGAAGAAAAUGACGGUACCUGACUAAGAAGCCCCGGCUAACUACGUGCCAGCAGCCGCGGUAAUACGUAGGGGGCAAGCGUUAUCCGGAUUUACUGGGUGUAAAGGGAGCGUAGACGGUCCUGCAAGCCAGAUGUGAAAGCCCGGGGCUCAACCCCGGGACUGCUCUUGGAACUGCGUGGCUGGAGUGCAGGAGGGGCAGGCGGAAUUCCUGGUGUAGCGGUGAAAUGCGUAGAUAUCAGGAGGAACACCGGUGGCGAAGGCGGCCUGCUGGACUGCAACUGACGUUGAGGCCCGAAAGCGUGGGGAGCAAACAGGAUUAGAUACCCGAGUAGU